rnacentral:rRNA from 1 species
AACCAGCACCUCAAGUGGUCAGGAUGAUUAUUGGGCCUAAAGCAUCCGUAGCCUGUUCUAUAAGUCUCCGGUUAAAUCCAUCAACUCAAGUGAUGGGCUGCCGGAGAUACUGCAGAGCUAGGGAGUGGGAGAGGUAGACGGUACUCGGUAGGAAGGGGUAAAAUCCUUUGAUCUAUUGAUGACCACCUGUGGCGAAGGCGGUCUACCAGAACACGUCCGACGCUGAGGUAUGAAAGCGUGGGUAGCAAACAGG